rnacentral:rRNA from 2 species
UUGCUUCUAUGACGUUAGCGGCGGACGGGUGAGUAACACGUGGGCAACCUGCCUGUAAGACUGGGAUAACUCCGGGAAACCGGAGCUAAUACCGGAUAACAUUUUUUCUUGCAUAAGAGAAAAUUGAAAGAUGGUUUCGGCUAUCACUUACAGAUGGGCCCGCGGUGCAUUAGCUAGUUGGUGAGGUAACGGCUCACCAAGGCAACGAUGCAUAGCCGACCUGAGAGGGUGAUCGGCCACACUGGGACUGAGACACGGCCCAGACUCCUACGGGAGGCAGCAGUAGGGAAUCUUCCGCAAUGGACGAAAGUCUGACGGAGCAACGCCGCGUGAGUGAUGAAGGCUUUCGGGUCGUAAAACUCUGUUGUUAGGGAAGAACAAGUACAAGAGUAACUGCUUGUACCUUGACGGUACCUAACCAGAAAGCCACGGCUAACUACGUGCCAGCAGCCGCGGUAAUACGUAGGUGGCAAGCGUUAUCCGGAAUUAUUGGGCGUAAAGCGCGCGCAGGCGGUUUCUUAAGUCUGAUGUGAAAGCCCACGGCUCAACCGUGCAGGGUCAUUGGAAAACUGGGGAACUUGAGUGCAGAGAGAAAAGCGGACUUCCACGUGUAGCGCUGAAUG